rnacentral:lncRNA from 1 species
GAACUGGCACGCCUUGUCCUUGCUCAGGUCGUCUUCGGACUUGCGCCACCCGCGGUCCUUCUGGCUCACCGGCGCGUAGCACAGGUUCACCUUCACGUUCUUGAACGCGGCGUCGGCGCCGGCGGGUUCGGUGGUGUUCAGGGACCAGGUCACCGUCACCGUGUCCACGCCGGCGUGCAGAACUGCGCAUGGCCAUGGAUUUCGUGAUGAGUACAAUAAAGAUUCUACUUUUUGACCUUCGAACACGCGGGAAAUGGACGGUGAAAGGUUUUCCUACUACUGCCCGGCCUAGAUAUAUAGCUUCAAAAAUGUUUCUUACUCGGUUUGCUUUUCAGACGCAUUGCAAGCAACAAAAGAACAUAGUUCAGCCAUUUAAGAAGGAAGGUAAAAGAGUAAAAGACGAACACUAGAACAUGGGGAGCAACUCCACCCUGAGUCGUACGUGAUGUCAUUAACGAUCAUUCAAGUCUUCAAGAUCUCCCUUUCUUCGUGGUGGUGAUGGCUAGUUAACUCUAUUAGCUUGUUAUGUUAGGAAAGACUUAAUUUGAUGAACCAUCACUCCAUUGUUAAUGUUUAUAAUAUUUUAUUUAUGUGAUACAAAAUUAUUAGUAAUGAAAUGAAAGAAAUCUUGUAAUUUCAAACAUAGAGAGUAAAUAAUAUGAGUAAAUAACAGUAUAACACCAUACACAUUGAACGCGCACCUUGGCCGGGCUUGGGGGAGGCGGUGACGGCGAGCGCCUUGGGCAGCGUGGAGAGGUGCACCCCCGCGGCGGCCGGCGCCGGCAGGCAGCCGCAGAGAAGCACCGCCGCAAGCAACGAGAACACCACGGCGCCUUGUUGCCGAGCCAUCGCUUCUCCUGACGCGUUAAUAAUCGAUCGCCGGCCGGUGAUCUCUUCCUCUCUAGCUAGUUACCUGACUGGUGGGUGGUCGGAGACGGAGGCGAGGAAUCUGAUGAGGUGCUUGGAGUUGGGUUGGAUGAGUACGGACGCGGCUAGCCGAGAAUAUAUAGGCACGUUGCCGAGGAGGUGUCGAGCAGUUGACUUUGCUGGCGGCCCUGUCGGCAAGGAGUAGGAUCAAUCGUUUAAGCUAAUAAACAAGCUGCUAAUUAUGCGAUUCAAAAGUCAGAUCUUGACGAGGGCAGGGCCAACAGCAGCGCUGCAGCUGGUAGUAAUGUAUCUUUUCGGUCACUUCGCGAGCCUGACUUGCUUUUAGAGGGGCCCCGAAGGGCUCCGGCUUGGUGGGAUGCGGCGACCGCGCGCGAUCGAUUCGACCCUGCUCGCAAAUCAGCUGACGCGGCCAGGGGACGAACGAAACGAACCAGCGGCCCUUCCGGUGCCCCUACGCAAGGCCACGAAAUGCAGUGCAGGGCGUUGCGUCGCAUGGCGUGGCGAGGCGGCAUCCAACGGCGCGGCGCGGCGCGGCGACCGGGUGGUCGGGGGUGUUUGGCUCACAUGUGUUAAACUUCGCAGUCACGUCGGAUAUUUGGAUACUAAUUAGGAAUAUUAAAUAUAAUCUAAUUAUAAAACUAAUUACACAGAUGGAGUCUAAUUUAUGAGACAAAUCUAUUAAAGCUAAUUAGUCCAUGAUUUGAUAAUAUGAUGCUACAGUAACCAUUUGCUAAUGAUAGAUUAAUUAGUCUUAAUAAAUUGGUCUCAUGAAUUAGUCCAGAAGUUCUGCAAUUAAUUUUAUAAUUAGCUAUGUUUAGUCCUACUAAUUAGCAUCCGAAUAUCCGAUGUGACAUGUGAUAAAAUUUAACUACUGAUAUCCAAACACACAUUUAGAUGGUGCGGCCGCAGCCUGUAGGACUAGGCAGACCAGGUGCAGAGAUUCCCACGGCAGGAAUGGACAUGGAGGCAUAUGUCAGCUGUGGUGUUCAAAAUCCACGCGGACUACAUGCCUGCGGCGAGGGGAAGGGUGGUUUCACUUUCGCACGGUCGGCACGACAGAAUCGAACAGAAUUUCCACCCAUUUCGGUUCCAAUGGGAGCGCAUCUCAUCUGUCGAUAGCUUGAUGAAGAGCUAGUUGCGACAGCAGCAUGCCGGCACAUUGCUUCACAUGGUAAAACCCGCGCGCCAACUAAAAGAGGAUCGAUCGAGAUGUACGGGGUCAUGUGACUCUUAGCAAAGAUUAAGGGUUACAAAGUGCAACGUUUGAUUGACUCGCCUCUAUCAGCACGUAAUAAGAAUUAGCGACAAGGAGCACGGCUUAUCAACGGGCCGAUGUCACGUAAUAAGAAUUAAAGAGUAAACAGGAGGACGGCACAGAAUUAUUGACGGAAUCAUGCGUUCAAUUUUAAGUGGACAGGCCAACUUCCAUUUCGAGGGUAUCUGAAUCACAAUUCAGAAUUUGGUUUAUCUUUUUAUCUAUCUUUUCUUAAAAAUUAUUUUUUUAAAUGAACCAGGUUGGAGAGCUGCCGAUUAUAUUAAAAAAAGAAUUUCAGACUGGAAAAAUACAAAAGGAAAAGAAAAGAAAAACAAUACAAACUCGCCUGGUCGGAUUAGGACAUCAACGCAGAUAACCACUCAACACCAAAACUAUCACACCCUACCGGUUGGAUUGGGACAUCAACACGGUCUCACCACUCCGCUCGCCACGGCGGCACCCACCAACAUCCACGCUCAUAACUCGUUGAAACGUCUAGGCGUGGUCCGGCAUCGACAGGGAACCGAUAGAAACAGACUGCACUGCAAUGAGAUGGCCACCGUCAUACGGAACCCUCCGCUGUAGUGCCGCUGCAACACCACACUCUAUCUGACAGAGUGAUACCACCGAAUCCGGACCUCUCUUAGGUUGCCUCGCAGUCGCCACCGCGAUAACACAAUGCGCGGGGGCCUCGCCACAUCCGCCGUUGGACUCCACCUCACUCUCAUCGCCUCGAAGAAACACCACGUGCAAGGGUCUCACCACGCCCGCCAUAGUACUCCACGUCAUGGAUCCGUUUCUUUUGUCGCUGUCAAAGUGGUGAGCAAUAUUGCCUCGCUCCACAAGAUCUCCGUCAAUUAGCCAAGCCGGCGUCGCAGGUCGACUUCGCCUCGUUACUUCACCCACGCAAAAGCAUCCGUCGUCAUGUCAGCAAGUCAGAGAAGUCGCUUGUGCCGUCUUCCAACGAUGUACCGCAUCGGGUAGUUCAGCCAAGCUGAGCAACCCGCCGCGGUCCGCUGCAAGCCUAGUUGUCCUAUGAUGCCGUUGCCGCAAGCGUCGUCCUCCAACGCAGUCCCACGCCGCACUAACCGUUGCCAAGAAACGCCAGCCACCGCGAUCCACUGCAAGCGGCAAAGACCGACAACCCCUGGCCGCCACCAUAACUACGAUCGCCUCCACAUGGCCUCGGCAACACCCGUCCAGCUUGCCACGCGACGGAAUUGUCGCCACCGGCUGCGGCCGUCCAUGACUAAUGGACUAGGAAUGGCACAGGCCGAGAUGGGUCUCUAGAGACGACGCCUCCAAGGAGGGCACAACGCCAAUGGUGCCGCCGUCACUAGUCCAGGAUCUGGACAGGGUUUUCACCCAGAGGACCCCGUGCAGUAGGGUUGUAGCUCAGAAAUGACACCCCCAACGGGAAGAAUGAUCCCCUAGGGUGCUGCCGUCAUCUCCACCAGCAAGAAUGCCCGCGAGGGCUUUCGCCCGAAGCAUCCCAACCCCUACACGUUCACGGCUCAGCACUCCCGACCACAAUCACUGCAGUCCAACCGGGGCGACGUCGCCACCGCGCCUCCUCGCACCACGCAGUCGUACCUCUACCUCUGCUCGCUCGCCGGCAGUCAUCCUUCUUGCACCGUGCCCUGCGCCGCCCCCCUCCGUGUCGCUAUUUUCCACGCUAGCGCCACCUUCGCACCGUGCCCUGCCCCAUGCACUGCCGCCCGCGGGCCACUACCUCAUGCAUGCGGCUGCCGCUGGCCACCACGCCCAUGAGCACCCGCAUCGCGCCGCUUCCCCUCUUUAUGCCUCCGCCGCUUCAUGCCUUCACCGCUUCCCCACGUCGCGUAUUGCCGAGCAGGCUUUCACCCAACACCCACUCGCUCGCCGCCGCUGCAAGCUCAUCACCCACCACGGCCACCGCCAUCAACCUCUCCUCCCAGCCAACGCCACCACCCUGCCAUGCCGAGACCGAGAGAGGCCAUGACCUCCAGCACAACAUUAGGGACCCCCCGUGGUCCCAGCUCUCACAGCCUCCCACUCCACACCUCCUCAGCACGUCCUCCUCCUGCCUCAACGUGAUCUAGCUCAGAGGCACGUCGUGGAACCUGGCGAACUCCAUGCGCAGAGCCCACUAGUGCAGCCGGUCAUGCCACUCGCGGUGGCGGACGCCCUCCUGUAGCAGCACUGCGGGCUGUUGGCCUCCGCACCGUCGCUGCUCCCUAGGAGCUCGUCAUCGUGGACUGCGGAUCUGGCCGCUGGAGGGCUAGGUCGACCCCCACUUUGCUCGAGAAAUUGCGGCCACCCGCUCCACCCCUUGCUCAAACUCGUCCCGCGCAGCCGCCAUCGCUCGGCAUCCACCCCAGCGCUGACCGCCGCCCCACGUGGGCCUCGCAUCCGGACGUGGGGGCUCGGAUCCAGUCUCGCCGGCACGGCCACGCGCCGCCCUACGGUGACUCCCUCCGACAGCCAUGGCGGCCGCGCCCGCCAGGAGAGAUGAAGGAAGGGAAGCAAGCCGCCCCGCCGCCGCCGUCCUCGCGAGCCGCGCGGGCUUCCAGCGGCUGGCUCGGGCGGCGGCGCGGCGGUGGGGAGAGGGAGGAAGAGGCGGUGGCGGCAAGAGUUUCAUCCGCCCGUGUCGCUCAUACGGGAGUGACGCGGGGGCUCGCCCGAAUCUGAGUCUGUUGUGCUCUUCAAAAUUCUUUCCUUUACGUAAUUUGAUUUAUUUUUCAUUCCACUUCUUCUUUGAAUGCUUGUAGCGAGUGCCGUUUCAAACUUUGGCACCUGCCUGGUGGGAAAAUGGCCCAUCGAAAAUCCUAUUUAUGGAAUCCAAAAGUAAAGAGUGCACAACAUGAAUACUCUGUCAACCCAAAUAGAAGAGGUCUAUAGCUUCUCUGAUACGUAAAUGAAUGAGAGAAUGAGGCAUGGUUUAUACAACAAGCAUGUAUUUGUGUAGACGAACAUGUGACUUGCGCCUUGCGACGCAGUGAGCAACCAAGCAAAAUUGGUGUAAACCUUUUGCCAUCUGCAUGUUAACUUUUGACAACGAGCAUUAGAUGUGAUAAGUAUAUAGUCGAUGCCUUAAUUCCGAGUUAAUUGUAUGGCUAUUAUAGUGGAAAUGGUCAGUAGAGGUCUGUCAUCUCCUCUAUAAGUUAUAGAGACGUCUACGAAACACAGAUGUGAAAGCACCAUGAACUCAUUCUCCACUACUUCCUUUCAUCAGGAGAUUUGUGCAUGGUGGUGGUGUUGUCGGCGCUCGGAUUUGAAACGCGGAUGCGAAUGUGGUCCAUCCUCUUGGUGCUCACGCGGUCCGCGAGCAGGGCAUCUCUGCGGUGGGUGGGAUGCCUUGAUGAGAGAGUGAGAAAUGAAAGAUAGAGGAGUCUUUUUGCAACUUGUUGUCACAUUGCAUGGCCACAUAGGUGAAAUGGUGCUUCCGUGGAUGCCCUUGGACCUUCAUAGUCACUCUUUAUUAGAUUGUGGACCUAGAUGACCACUUUAAAAUUUAUAGACGACAUCGAGAAUAGUUUAAUAAGCUACAGUGAAAAUUCACUUUUAGUAAGAUAGAAAAUGGUAAAAGAGAAACCAUGUACAACUCCUGAUUAUUAGGGUCACAUGUGGAUGCUAGCUGAUAAACAAGAUAAUGACUCCAGAUCCUAGUCGAACUAACCUGACCCAGGCCACAUACUAUUACAAAUACACUCAUUGACUACGCUUGCAACAUGAACCAGAAAUUCCAAAAACCAGAGCACAUUUGGGUUGGGAGAAAUCGAGAGAAAUCAGAGCUUUGAAAAAAUGAUCUUGCUAAAACUUGAAAGCUUAACAAUAUAUUAGUUGAUGAAUGGAUGCUAAUCAUCAUAACUUGGAAAAAAUCACAUGAUAUUACUUAACGUGCAACAACUGGUUCUUGAAAUUGUGAUAUGUUGUAAGUCCUGUAUCAGGGUGAGAUGGGCAAACCUUAGUCAAUUAUGGAAUCCGAUGCUGGCUCUACAGGUUUUAGGAGAAAGUCGUUCCAAUGGCAGCGCAUACAUGCUUCUUAUUUUUGCAGGUGUAAGAAGGACCGGGGAGAUCACAUCUCUCUAUGAUGGCGUGUACAUACAAAACAGAUCCACAGAUUGGUAUGCCAUUGAGAUGGCAACGUUAUAUAUUUUGCAGGUGCAAAAGGUUCAAGAUCUUACUCCAUUGGCGACGGUAGUGUGAACAGGUCUGCAAUGUUGUUCCGACUCGCAGCCUUGCAAAGUGAAUUGCAAAAUCGUUAUGUGAGAUCGCUUUGCGAUUCUAUGGAUAAACAAGGGGAAGAGGCUUGUUCUCGAUCAAUGGCGGAGCUUGAAGCAAAGUUGAGAGGGGGGCAAUAUAAAUUGGAGGGUGAAUAACAGCAGGGAGGGGGGACCAAUUUUAAGCUUAGCUAGCAUUUAUACCUUGUAUCUACUAACUUCAUCAAGAAAUUGCAAAAUUUGAAGGGAGGGGGGCAUUGCCCUGUUGGCCAUCACUAAGCUCCGCUAGUGUUCUUGAUUAGAGGCAUGUUUGAAAGAUUGCCUUUACAAGUCCCCUCCAUAUUGCAUGUUUAUGCGCAGGUCUACAAAGAAAAGGGAAGGAAAUAAAGUAUACAUUGAUAGCCUGACUACAGAUGAAAGCCAAAUUUUGUGACGCCCAGGUUUAGUUAAAAAUCUCAGAUUUGUUAGUUUCCAAUUAUCAUCCUUCCGAGACCGAUGAGGCCGGAAGAUUCCAGUAUGUCCUGACCGACGAGGCUGGACAAAUCACAUUCGUGACCGACGAGGCCGAACGCAUUUACAUACCAAGAGCACUUAGUUAAAAUUCCAUGCGUAACGAAAUAUGGCAUCAAGUCGCUUGACAUUUCUCCCUUUACUUUUUUAUAUACAUCAUUCAUCUAUAUGGAGUACAGGACAAGAUGCUUGAUCACAAUGAUCAUUUGACGCAGCAUAAUCGGAGGCGUUCUAUAGCCUCAACCUAUGGAUAUAAUUAAUUAGAGUUUUUGCUAGGCUCUAUGAUUCGGGAACUAUGCAAUCGUUACCUUGAGGCGCUAUGCAGAAAUAUAUGUAAAAAGAGGAGACGUGUAAAUUUCUCGAGAAAUGAAUAAAGAAAGAAACUUUCCCAUUUUAUUGUGUUUCUUUGUGUUUUAUUUAUCUAUUUGUAUACUAUUCUAUACUGGUACGCCCGCACCCUAUUAAGCCGUAUGCAGAUAAAUUUUGAGUAUUUCUCUCGCGAAAACACACAAAUAGCCAAUAGGAUCAUUGCCAUUUCUAUUUAGCAACUUAUUAUCUACAAACUAAUUAAAUACGCCAAUUAUUUUUUAAAUGUAAAAAUUUGAUACAUUAUAUCAAAAAUGCAUGUGAUAUCAAUUUUAUGUGAAUUACUAUACAAUUUUUUGCUACUAUUUUUUUGUUGUGUCUACGAGUUGUAGUGUCUAUGAGAUUUAUUACAAUGGUGUUGUAAAAAUUAUGCUAAAAUCUUGAUGUAAACGUGCAUGACUUGUACCGCCGAUCUUUUCUAUCAAAAUAAUAUGUGGUGCUUUAGUGGUGCCAAACACAUAUUAGAAACAAAUAUAUUUGUCUACAUGAGUUCAAUAUCACCUAUUUGUGAAAAGAUUAGCUAUCCAAGAUCAAGUCCUACUGAAGGUAUAAUAAUGAUUUUUCCAUAAAUGUUGUAUAUAUUUUAAUUUCUUGUCAAUUGGUCAGCUAUAUACAAUUUGUGAUUUCCUUAUGUCAGUGUAGAUACAUACCUUAGGGUUUACUUUGUAGCUUCAAAUGUUCGUGUUGCUUUUAACCUUGGUUAUUUAUGCUCUUACCCAUAUUUUGAAGUGUAAUUGUGAUUUUACCCUUAUUUUUAAAUUUUGUGACUUUACCCUUAACUAUUCACGGGUCAAUGCUAUUUUGCCCCUAGUCAACGAUCAAAAUAAGGAAAAAUACGCAAAGACUAAGGGAAAAAUCACAUUAACUUGUAAAUAAUUGAGGGUAAAAUCACAAAGCUAAAAAAAUGAUGGUGAAAAUACAAUUACACUUCAAAAUAGGAUCAAGAUCAAAAAAACCUAGCAAUAAACUGACCCUCCUAGAUUCUUCCUAGAAUAUCUCAACUCUAUUUCUCUAAUAACUAUCCUACCUAAAAUAUAGGAAAAAGUCCAAAUUACUCCUCUCUCAAGUGUAACACAUACUCCAAAUAUUCUAGCAUAUUACAAAAAUGCAACCUAUUUUCAACAAAGGAAGAUGUAGUUUGGAGUCAUAUGUUAAGAUGGCAUUAUUAACCUAAAUAGUUGGCAUUUCUAGUUAUUGAGAAUUAAAAUUGAGGCUCUUUUAUAACCAACUAAUGACACGUGAUGGUAUUUGUCUGGCCUGACCCUAGCCGGAUAUACCCAUGAUUCUUGAAACAGAUUGUGCAACAGUGGUGAGUGAGGCAUAUGGGUACCUUAUGGGUCCUCACUGACCAGGAUACUGGCCGGCUCUGGCAAGUGGGUCCGUCCGACCAGAACGUGCGGUCCAAGGACGUGAAGGUACUUGGAGCACAAGUCAAGAAAGUCGGGCAAUUCAAAUCAGCUCGGAUAUUGCGGGAUACUUGUUGUAAUCCGACUCAGAUUGUUUUCCAUGUAACAAACGAGUAGAUUAGAUUCAAACUGACUUGUAACCCUAUGUCAUCAGCCUAUAUAAGGCGUCCAAGGGCGCCUCCUGAGGGCAAUCCAACCCCAAUCCCAACUAUUCCACGCACCAGCACAAAGCAAUACAAACCACCAGCAUACAAGACGUAGGGUAUUACUCUCCGGAGUCCCGAACCUGUCUAAACAUUUGUGUUAUCGUGAUUACUUUCAAGUUCUUGUUCUCGCAAUUCUCCCUACCUACAAAUCAACCACUUAGGUAACCUCUUGGUAAACUGUUAGGCUACUAAAUCUGACAAUGAGCAAGCUCCAUGUGACAUCAUUGUACAUAUCCUUGGUGUGGUCGCUGAUUCAGGAGGCCCUAGAGAAAAGGCGUCACUACGUCAGCUACAACAUCUCGAGGUCAAGAAGAUCAGCAGGGAGCAAAGUAAUGGCACAUGAAUUGACUCAUCUGGCAAUUAGUUUGAGCUAAGGAUGUGUCUUUUUUUUCUUUUACUGAUUUCUCGCGGACACUCGUUUGUAAUGACGUUACCUAAACUUUAAUAAAUUUCUUGUUCCGUAAAAAAAAAGACAUGUCGAUUUUGUAGAUCAAAGCCACCAGUCAGCCUAUAAAAAUCUUAUCAUUUAAUUUGUUGCAGGUGCGGUUGUUGUGAACUAUGGAGAAGCAAACAGAUCAUCUCAGAUUCUCAGCUAGGGUACGUUGUGCGAUGGGAUAUUCCUUUCAUGGAUUCUGCGUCAGCGCUGACAAUUACACCUGCAAUUUUAGAGUAGGUUUCACCGUGCCUUCUCUGUUACACAGAACAAGCUAACCAAGACCAGCCGGAAAGAACUCUACGCGGGAUAACAAGCAUUGCAACGGCCACCUGGCCCCUACUUGUUCUUCUUGCGGUUCUCGAUGACGAAGAAGAAGGCGAGCGCGACGACGGAGAAGGCGGAGAACACGCCGGCGGCGACCUUGAUGGAGGCGUGGAUGCCCGUGAUGCCGGCGACGACGAAGGCGGCUUCGGGGCCCGUCUGGCCGUAGGCCACCUGCGUGCCGGACGCGUCGAGCGCGUACGCGCGCACGUAGUAGGUGCCCGAGGGGAUGUCUUUGGCGACGGCGUAGUCGAAGCUGCGCCGGGCGCCGGCGGCGUAGGCCUGCUGGGUGAGCUUGAACUGGCACGCCUUGUCCUUGCUCAGGUCGUCUUCGGACUUGCGCCACCCGCGGUCCUUCUGGCUCACCGGCGCGUAGCACAGGUUCACCUUCACGUUCUUGAACGCGGCGUCGGCGCCGGCGGGUUCGGUGGUGUUCAGGGACCAGGUCACCGUCACCGUGUCCACGCCGGCGUGCAGGACUGCGCAAGGACAUGGAGGAUUUCGUUGUUAAUAUGACAGAAACUGCAAAGUAUAAAAAAUUUGAAAUAUCGACACAAUGCAAAGUGAAAUGCUAAUUAUUUGGAGAAAACUCCCUCCAGUCACCAAAAUAUGGCGUUUUAGACCAGAAAAGCAGCUUAGACGGUAGGUGCAGUUGAAUUUCUAGAAUUAUACUCUUUCUUGGGAUUUUUUCAAAUGUCAGGAGUACACUUUCUAUGAGAUGGAUGGAGUACUACUGCUGCUCAUCUAGAACGUCAAGUGUUCUGUUCUUUUUUUCUAUAUCAAACAUGAAGUAUUUUUGACUGGAGGCAGUACAUUAGGAUGGCCCUAGAAUUUCUCACAAAGGACGGACUCCGUAAAUUAAACUGUCAAAAGAGGAGAGUUUACCCUUUUAACUUUUGAGAAAUUAAAUAAUCGGUUAAAAGUGUCUCAAUUCUUGCCCAAAAGGCUUUUACUAUUGGCCGGCCUAUAUAGCUUGUAAUAAAAUGUUUCUCUCUUGCUGUUGUUUCUUUUUGAGCCGCAUAUAUUGUAAGUGACAAAAGAGCAUAGUUCAGCUGUCUCGAUCAGCAAAAAAGAGAGAGACGAGCACCUGGAACAUAUUCUCCAAUUUGUGCUCUCAUGUCAUUUGAGUUUGUCUUCAAAAUAUAUCCAUAGGGAAAACUAAAAUAUAUGUAUAGGACUAUAGCCUAUAGGAGUACUGGGAGAUCAUUGAAUUUUUUUGGAAAAACCUGAGAGAUCGUUUCAUUAUCUCACCCUUCUUUAUGGCACUUGCUGCUAAUUAAGACUAUGACUUUGCUACAAAGACCACUAAAGGUACUAACAUGAUUAAAUUAGUUAGGCACUGCACAUUGGAAGCCAGGAAUUAAUUAGCGGCAGAGCUAAUUAAACAGCUAGCUGGCUAUCAGUAUCAGCCGGCAGGUCAAACGGAGCAGGAACUUGGAAACACUUUGCGACCGAUGCAGUAGCGCAGACCGGAGAGGGUGCGACGCAGAUGAUAUAGCUAGCUUAGCAGAAACGCAC